ACAUCCUCACAGAUACCAAUAGGUAGACUGAUUGGGUGCUAAGAUACAAAGUCAAGAGGGAAACAGCCCAGAUCGUACGCUAAGGUCCCUAAGCAAUCACUUAGUGGAAAAGCAAGUGAUCGAGCGAUGACAACCAGGAGGUGGGCUUGGAAGCAGCCAUCCUUGGCAGUUGAUUUGUCAGCCAUUUGCAAAGAUAUUUCAGUAGGUGUGAGUUUAUUCAAGUCAAGUCUUUUAUAUAAAGAGAAAGGCAUA
rnacentral:ncRNA from 1 species